rnacentral:rRNA from 1 species
UACGUAGGGGGCAAGCGUUGUCCGGAAUCAUUGGGCGUAAAGAGCGUGUAGGCGGCUCGGUAAGUCCGCUCUGAAAGCCCGGGGCUCAACCCCGGGAGGCGGGCGGAUACUGGCGGGCUAGAGUCCGGAAGAGGCGAGUGGAAUUCCUGGUGUAGCGGUGAAAUGCGCAGAUAUCAGGAGGAACACCAAUGGCGAAGGCAGCUCGCUGGGACGGUACUGACGCUGAGACGCGAAAGCGUGGGGAGCAAACAGG